UGGGUCCCUAUGUGUCUCUAUGUGUCCCUAUGGGUCUCUAUGGGGUCUGUAUGUGUCUCUAUGGGUCUCUAUGGGUCCCUGUAGGUUCCUGUAGGUCUCUCUAUGGGUCUCCCUAUAGGUCCCUAUAGGUCUCUAUGUGUCUCUAUGGGUCUCUGUAUAGAUCACUCCCUGGGUUCCCUAUGUGUCUCUAUGGGGUCUGUAUGUAUCUCUAUCUGUCCCUAUAUCCUAUAGGUCACUCCCUGGGUUCCCUAUGGGUCCCUAUGUGUCUCUAUGGGUCCCUAUGUGUCCCUAUGGGUCCCUAUGGGUCUCUAUGUAUCUCUAUCUGUCCCUAUAUCCUACAGGUCACUCCCUGGGCUCCCUAUGUGUCCCUAUAGGUCUCUAUGUCUCCCUAUAGGUCUCUAUGUGUCCCUAUAGGUCCCUAUAGGUCUCUAUGUGUCUCUCUAUAGGUCACUCCCUUGGUUCCCCUCUGGGCGAUUUGUUGCUGUUCAAUUUCAGCACCAACAGUUGGAGCCGCAUCGUACACAGACCAGCACCGGCCGCCCGCCAUUCCCACUCUGCCUGUCGCUGGCGUGACUCCAUGGUUGUCUAUGGCGGGGAGACGCGGGGGGGAAACAUGGCGGCCGAUGUCUGGAGGUAUCGACCACACAGAGGGUGGGACCUACUGAGGCCUAAGGGAACAACAUGGCCGCCACAUAGGGCACAGCAUGCGGCCGCCAUCGUUGGGGACUGGAUGUACAUCAGUGGGGGUAAUUAACAUUAAUUAAUGGGGUAAUUAAUGGGGGAUGGGUCUCUAUGGGUCUCUAUGGGUCCCUAUGGGUCUCUAUGGGUCCCUAUGGGUCCCUAUGUGUCUCUAUGGGUCUCUAUGGGUCUCUAUGGGUCCCUAUGGGUCUCUAUGGGGUCUCUAUGGGUCUCUAUGGGUCUCUAUGGGUCUCUAUGGGUCCCUAUGUGUCUCUAUGGGUCUCUAUGGGUCCCUAUGGGUCUCUAUGGGGUCCCUAUGGGUCUCUAUGGGGUCUCUAUGGGUCUCUGUGGGUCACUAUGGGGUCCCUAUGGGUCUCUAUGGGUCCCUAUGGGGUCUCUAUGGGUCUCUAUGUGUCUCUAUGUGUCUCUAUGGGUCUCUAUGGGUCCCUAUGAGUCUCUAUGGGUCCCUAUGGGUCCCUAUGGGUCUCAAUGGUUCCCUAUUAAUCCCUAUGGGUUGCAAUGAGUCCUCCAAGCCUCUAGGGGGCGCUCUAUGGGUCUCUAUGGGUCUCUAUGGGUCUCUAUGGGGUCUCUAUGGGUCCCUAUGGGUCUCUAUGGGUCCCUAUGGGUCUCUAUGGGGUCUCUAUGGGUCUCUAUGGGUCUCUAUGUGUCGCUAUGGGGUCUCUAUGGGUCUUUAUGGGUCUCUAUGGGUCCCUAUGUGUCUCUAUGGGGUCCCUCUGGGUCCCUAUGUGUCUCUAUGGGUCUCUAUGGUUCCCUAUUAAUCCCUACGGGUUGCAAUGAGUCCUCCAAGCCUCUAGUGGGCGCUCUAUUAAUCUCUAUGGGUCUCUGGGUCUCUAUGGGUCCCUAUGGGUCUCUAUGGGUCUCUAUGGGUCUCUAUGGGUCUCUAUGGGGUCUAUGGCGGCCUAAGGGACAGAUAAAGGGACCCCAUAGGGCACAGCAUGCGGCCGCCAUCGUUGGGGACAGGUUAUACGUCAGUGGGGGUAAUUAGUGAUAAUUAAUGGGGUAAUUAAUGGGGGAAGGGUCUCUAUGGGUCCCUAUGGGUCCCUAUGGGUCCCUAUGGGUCUCUAUGGGUCUCUAUGGGGUCUCUAUGGGUCCCUAUGGGUCUCUAUGGAAUCUCUAUGGGUCCCUAUGUGUCUCUAUGGGUCUCUAUGGGUCUCUAUGGGUCUCUAUGGGUCCCUAUGUGUCUCUAUGGGUCUCUAUGGGGUCUCUAUGGGUCCCUAUGGGUCCCUAUGGGUCUCUAUGGGGUCUCUAUGAGUCUCUAUGGGUCUCUAUGAGUCUCUAUGGGUCUCUAUGGGUCUCUAUGGGUCCCUAUGGGUCCCUAUGUGUCUCUAUGGGUCUCAAUGGUUCCCUAUUAAUCCCUAUGGGUUGCAAUGAGUCCUCCAAGCCUCUAGGGGGUGCUCUAUUAAUCUCUAUGGGUCCCUAUGGGUCUCUAUGGGUCCCUAUGGGUCUGUAUGGGGUCUAUGGCGGCCUAAGGGACGGAUAAAGGGACACCAUAGGGCACAGCAUGCGGCUGUUAUCAUAGGGGACUGGUUAUACGUCAGUGGGGGUAAUUAGCGUUAAUUAAUGUUAAUUAAUGGGGUAAUUAGGGAAUGGGGGGGGUAAUUAAUUAGUUUUUUUCGCCCAACGUGACGUACAGCCAGCUCCGCCCCCAAAACCCCCCCCCGCCCCCCCCCCCCCAAAAAAAUUUUUUUUUUUUUUUUAAAAUUUUUAAUUUUAAAAAACCUUAAAAGCCCCCCCCCCUUUCAGGUUUUUCCUCCCCCA
ensembl:lncRNA